rnacentral:tRNA from 1 species
ACUAAAAUGGCUUAAAUAAUAGAGCGCAAUAUUGAAGAUAUUGAGGUGGAUUUCCUUUUAGUA